rnacentral:misc_RNA from 1 species
CUGGUCCCAGGACUGAGCCGG